GGCUCAGUGGUCUAGGGGUAUGAUUCUCGCUUUGGGUGCGAGAGGUCCCGGGUUCAAAUCCCGGCUGGGCCC
rnacentral:tRNA from 1 species